CCUACGGGUGACAGCAGUGGGGAAUAUUGCACAAUGGGGGCAACCCUGAUGCAGCGACGCCGCGUGUGCGAUGAAGGCUUUCGGUUUGUAAAGCUCUAUCAGCAGGGAAGAAAAUGUCGGUACCUGUCUAAUUAGCCCCUGCUAACUCCGUGCCAGCAGCCGCGGUAAUACGGAGGGGGCAAGCGUUAUCCGGAUUUACGGGUUGUAAAGGGAGCGUAGACGGUCCUGCAAGCCAGAGGUGAAAGCCCGGGGCUCAACCCGGGGACUGCAUUUGGAACUGGAAGGCUAGAGUGUCGGAGAGGGAGGCAGAAUUCCUGGUGUAGCGGUGAAAUGCGUAGAGAUUAGGAGGAACACCAGUGGCGAAGGCGGCCUCCUGGACGAAGACUGACGUUGAGGCGCGAAAGCGUGGGGAGCAAACAGGAUUAGAUACCCCAGUAGUC
rnacentral:rRNA from 1 species